AUCAUGGGCAAGGAGAAAACAUUUUACCUAUUCACGCAAGCAAUGCUAUGACCCUGCUUACACUCCUUAAUCGUCUGGACAGGAAGCUUGGCUUCUGGUUCAACCACAUGCUCUUCAGGUCGACUUUGCCUGUAGCACUGAGUGUAUGGUUUUUAUGACUAGCGUCAAACUUGAAGCUUUCAAAGCCAUGUGUCAAAGCUCCCAGCGCGGUGCGGCCAGGGAGCCCUCCCGCAGCCAGCUGCGGCCCCCGGCCAGCCCCCCGCUGGCUUACGCGGACACCGAGCCCCUCGGGGAGCAGCCAGCAGAUUCCUCGCGUCCCGGUGUCAGGACCCGCGACCCCGCUGGGAAAGCCAGCUGUGGCAGCUCCUCGCCCUCAGGACGAGAGGGGGGCUCAUCGCCAUCUCUGUCCCCCCCUCCCCGGCCCCGCUCUUUUAUGAUGGGUUGUUUUCCUCCUGCGUGAACGCGAGGGCCGGCGGGGUGCUUCCAGAGUGCGCAUUUGUUCCCUUGCGGAGUUUGGCGACAACAAAACGAGCGUGUUUUGCCCCAUUAAUUAUGGAUAAUGGAAAAAGUGUAAGUAUCUACACGGUUAAAGCAGCGAGCGCGCCAUCGCUGACGGUGCCGCCAGGGCUGUGUCCGCGGGGUGCUCCGGGAAGGCAGACGCGCCCGGGUGUUCCCGGUGGGAUACUCUAUCCCACCAGGAGAGCUGUGUGCCAGGGAGACCUCAAAAUGUGUGUAUCCUAUAAACAGGGAGACCUAUAAAUGUGGGUAUCCUACAAAGGGGGAGAGCUGUGAAUGUAUGUAUCCUAGAAAGGGGGAGAGCUGUAGAGAUGUAUAUAUCCUAUAAAGGGGGAGAGACCAGUAAACAUGAACAUUAUGCAAAGGGGAAGACCUGUAAGUGUAUAUAUCCUACAAAGGGGGAAAGCUGUAAAGAUGUAUAUCCUACAAAGGGGGAGACCUGUUAGCAUAUAUAUCCUACGAAGGGGGAGACCAGUAAGGAUAUAUAUCCUACAAAGGGGGAGACCAGUAAAGAUGAAUAUUCUGCAAAGGGGGAGACCUGUAAGCGUAUAUGUCCUAUAAAGGGGGAGAGCUGUAAAGAUGUAUAUCCUACAGAGGGGGAGACCUGUAAGCAUAUAUAUCCUACAGAGGUGAAGAGACCAGUAAGGAUGUAUAUCCUAUAAAGGGGGAGAGGUGUAAAGACGUAUAUCCUACAAAGGGAAAGACCUGUAAGGAUAUAUAUCCUACAAAGGGGGAGAAGUGUAAAGAUGUGUAUCUUACAAAGGGGGAGAGGUGGUAAAGAUGUAUGUUCUCCAAAGGGGAGACCUGUAAGCGUUUAUAUCCUACAAAGGGGAGACCUGUAAAGAUACAGAUCCUACAAAGGGGUAGAGCUGUAAGCGUAUAUAUGCAGUGAAGGGGUAGACCCGUAAAGAUGUAUAUUCUACAAAGGGGUAGACUUGUAAGUG
ensembl:lncRNA